CGGGUGAGUAACGCGUGAGGAACCUGCCUCAAAGAGGGGGACAACAGUUGGAAACGACUGCUAAUACCGCAUAAGCCCACGGCUCGGCAUCGAGCAGAGGGAAAAGGAGUGAUCCGCUUUGAGAUGGCCUCGCGUCCGAUUAGCUAGUUGGCGAGGUAGCGGCCCACCAAGGCAACGAUCGGUAGCCGGACUGAGAGGUUGAACGGCCACAUUGGGACUGAGACACGGCCCAG
rnacentral:rRNA from 1 species